UNGUUUGGGCCAUAGUUGUUACUGAAUAUC
rnacentral:piRNA from 1 species